rnacentral:tRNA from 1 species
AGUUCAGUGGUUGAGCAUGUGCCUAGCAUGCACAAGGCCCUGAGUUCAAUUCCCAG